rnacentral:rRNA from 1 species
AUGAACGCUGGCGGCGUGCCUAAUACAUGCAAGUCGAGCGAACAGACGAGGAGCUUGCUCCUCUGACGUUAGCGGCGGCCGGGUGAGUAACACGUGGAUAACCUACCUAUAAGACUGGGAUAACUUCGGGAAACCGGAGCUAAUACCGGAUAAUAUAUUGAACCGCAUGGUUCAAUAGUGAAAGACGGUUUUGCUGUCACUUAUAGAUGGAUCCGCGCCGCAUUAGCUAGUUGGUAAGGUAACGGCUUACCAAGGCAACGAUGCGUAGCCGACCUGAGAGGGUGAUCGGCCACACUGGAACUGAGACACGGUCCAGACUCCUACGGGAGGCAGCAGUAGGGAAUCUUCCGCAAUGGGCGAAAGCCUGACGGAGCAACGCCGCGUGAGUGAUGAAGGUCUUCGGAUCGUAAAACUCUGUUAUUAGGGAAGAACAAAUGUGUAAGUAACUAUGCACGUCUUGACGGUACCUAAUCAGAAAGCCACGGCUAACUACGUG